CUUUGUCCUCCACUCCACAAGUGUAAGGGGGGGUGGUUUUAUGUUUGGCAAUGCCAUCACCAGCAAUUGCAUGCUCUUUGAUAGAUUUGCUGAGGCAAAGUAAUCCGAUCAAAGUAUAUCGAUGACAAAUGUAUAUUGCUCGAGGACAUUACUUGCGAAUGUUUCUUUAAUAGGGAUCCAACAGGGAACAUCCGGUUUGUAAAGGCAUUCUAAUCAAUAACUAUUGCAACAGCAUCAUGUGAUGGGCCAUUUGAGGAAACAUCACAUGACUGAAUUGUUUAGAAACCAAUAUGGAAAAAUCAUACUCCGGAGGAUGGAACAACAACAAGGUUUCUCAUUAUGAUAUUGUAUAACAAAUAGCAAAAAUGACAAGUUUUGAGUACUAAUUAACCCUUUCCCACUAAAAACCAAAGUGGUAAUAGAAAUAUGCAACCGGCAAAAAAACUGUCUGUUUAGGUUUAAUGCUGUCUGGUGCCCAUCUGUCAAAUUGCGUAUCUAAGUGGUAGAUGGUUAAACAAUACAUACUUGUAUUUAUAGGUUUAAGUACCUUUAAUGUUUUUAUUGGUUUAAGUACCUUUUAACAAUGUCUUACUUAUAUUUAUGGGAUGCGGCCAGCAGCAUCAAUCGUUCCCCGAUAUGUGGACAGGCUUUCUUGGUACGAUUUUUAUCACUCUCGAUGAACUCCUUCAAUGCAAAUAGUAUCAGGAUAGGUUUCCAAUGCCCAUAGAAAGAGACGAUGCAAUGCGAAGUAACCAUUGAGACUGUUAUCGCUCGUAUGCUGCGUUCCUUUGCUGAAUUCCACCACCGUGGCGCUCAUAAGGUUUGGGAUGGUCUUGAUCACCAUUUCUUCAAUCGGGGUUUUGUUCGCCUUGCACUUCGGCAUGAUCGCUGCGAUGUCUUUGGAACUCGCAGGGGGUAGUCAAAGCGGGUCGGUGAGUUGGACCAGAAACUAUCAAUCCGUAGCCAUACAAGUCUUCUAUGCCCUUAGGUUUCUCGACUUUAAGAGGCUCCUUUGACAUAUAGUCUACGAUCUGCGGACCUUAGUAUAAGAGGGAUGUAUUUAGUAUAUGAAUUACAUUUAGCCUAAGAAAGAUAAUAGUGUAUUAAGUAUGAGGAUUAUAAUGUAUUUAGUACAAAAAACUAAUAUUUUAUUUAGUAUUAGAAGGAUACUAUUGUUUUUAGUAUAAGAAGAUUAUUAUUGUAUUACAUAUAAAAAGGAUAACAUGGUAUUAAUUAUAUGAAGGAUAUUAUCACAUUGAACAUAAGAAAGAUAUAAUUAAGAAAUAAUAUUGUAUGUUUAGUACAAGGAUGGUAUUGUAUUUAGUAUAAGAAGGGCCAUAUUGUAUUUAGUUUAAUACGGCUAUUAUUGUAAUUAGUAUAAGAAGGAUAGUAUUGAAUUUAUAAUAAGUAUGAUACUAUGGAAUUUAGUAAUAAGUAUACAUAGGAUAAUAUUGUAUGAUAAGAAUGAUAACAUUUUUUAGUUUAUACAUAUUUAUUUCUGUUGGAAAUACAUUGUUCAUCAAUCAUGCACAAUACAAUGAUUAAAAGAAAACGUUUGAAACCAAAGAAAUAA